UUUUCCAUUUAUUCCUUCCACUUCUCCUCCCACUCUCACACGAUACAUUCCUUAUUAGCUUUAUACAAAGUAGUUACAACCUCCGCUUCCUUUCUCUUUCUCUCUCUCACCAAAACCCAACUAUAAAAAAGAAAGUGGCCAGGAAGGUUCCUUAGCUUUCCUUUCACUAUAUAAUAACAAACUCUCUGUCAUACACAAAUCAAAGAAAGAAACGUAACUAAGAUGGUGGUGGGAAUUAAUAGCAAGAAGGGAUCGUCGUCGUCGUCGUCGUCAUGGUUCUUCAAGAACAAGAAAAGGCUUUCUUCCUCGUGGAAUUUCAGGCUCAAGUAUCUCUUCUCCUCCGCCUUCAAGUGGAAGAGCCUCUCCACAAUCCGCGUCUCCUUCGUGGACGGCGUCGUUUUCAGGCUCCUCUCUGCAUUUGAGGCUGUACUCCUCGUUCUCACCCUCUCCUUCUUCUACCUCUGCUGCGGCUGCAACUUCUGAUCUCAUCCAUCAUGCAUCCUAGCUGAGACUAGAUACACAAUCUCAUCAUAACAAAAUCCGAAAUCAUCACCUAAUACUCUAGCUGUGAGGUUUGGUGCUUGUGUUCCUUAUUCAACAGUACAAAUAGAAUUCAAAGUUCGAAACCAGCUUUGGAAGCAAAGUAACGAAGACGUGUAUCCGCGUUCGAAUUCUAAUUCUAAUUCUUGCUUGGCAAUUAAGGCUUGUGACUUGUGAGGGUGAAAAUGAAGAAUAUUAUUUUCGUCACUAUUGGUGAGUUUUCUAAACCACGUCCACACUGAUCCCAACCCAGUUUCUGAUCCUGUGAGAGAGGGUGUAAGAUAACAUGGUAUAAUUGCGUAGAAGAAUCAAGAAUGGAGAAGAAAAUAAGUUAUGUUAAUGGUGUUGGUUGGCUUUUGGAGAGACUCUCGUGAGCAACAUCGCCCUUUGUGAGGAACCAACAGCUGGCUACCGGUUGUAGACAGGUGGUGUGUUAAGGUCAUGACUCAUAACUCUUGCAAAUUCUUUUUUUUUUUUAAUUUCAAAAUAUAAUUUUGAAAUGGACGACUUGUAUUAUUGGACCAACGAGGAGGAAUUAUUCAUUGAAGUUUUAGUUUUAAAUUAAAUAACGAAAAUAAUAUUCAUUAGAUUUAAAUAAUGAACUACGUUAACCAAGUUUUUUAAUAAAAUUUAAAAGUUAAAGAGUUUUUUAAUAAAAUUUAAAAGUUAAAGAAUAUAUAUGUCAGAUGAGUAGAGAAAGAAUAUUUUUGUGAUAAUUUUUUAUUGAUAUAUGAUUACAUAAGAAAUUAUUCUUAAGUCUAUAUUUUUUUAUAUUAGUCUUAAAAGUAUUUAUGAAAUAUAUUUAAGAGUUUGUGCUAUGAUGUAUGCAUGGUUUUUGCAUGGUUUUUGCUGAUAAUAAAUGGUAGAGUGCUGAUGAUAAAUGGUAGAGUGUUGGUUUUAUAUGUGACAAAAAAUGUCUUUAAAAUUUAAUUGUGACAAAGAUAAAAAUGUUCAGAUAAAUGAAUGGUUAUAGAAGCCGGACAAGGGGGACAAUGGGUGAAUACAUGAUAGAGUUUAAUAGGAUCCAUAUGCAGCCGAUCCUGUGGGACAAGAUUUUGUUGUUAUUGUUGUAUUAUUAAGGUAUCAUAUGAAUAAAUAAUAUCUAAUGUUUUUUUUCGUAAUGUUAUUACAAGAACAUUAUAGAUUAUUGCACAAAAAAUUUAUAAAUUAAACUAUUUUUAUAAAACGAUCGUAAAGGAUAAAAGUUUUUAUUGGUUAAGAAAAUUAGAGUUUUUGUAAAUAAAAAAAAUUAAAUAACAAAUUUUUUAGUUAUUACUUG